GUGGGGAAUCUUGCGCAAUGGGCGAAAGCCUGACGCAGCGACGCCGCGUGAGCGAUGAAGGCCCUAGGGUUGUAAAGCUCUGUGGAGAGGGACGAAUAAGCGUUGGUCAAUACCCAGCGCGAUGACGGUACCUCUUUAGCAAGCACCGGCUAACUCUGUGCCAGCAGCCGCGGUAAGACAGAGGGUGCGAACGUUGUUCGGAAUCACUGGGCGUAAAGCGCGUGUAGGCGGUCGUGCAAGUCGGGUGUGAAAGCCCAGGGCUCAACCCUGGAAGUGCACUCGAAACUGCUCGACUUGAGUAUCGGAGAGGGAGGCGGAAUUCUCGGUGUAGAGGUGAAAUUCGUAGAUAUCGAGAGGAACACCAGUGGCGAAGGCGGCCUCCUGGACGAUGACUGACGCUGAGACGCGAAAGCGUGGGGAGCAAACAGGAUUAGAAACCCCGGUAGUCC
rnacentral:rRNA from 1 species